rnacentral:rRNA from 1 species
UUAUCCGGAUUUAUUGGGUUUAAAGGGUGCGUAGGCGGCAUGACAAGUCAGCGGUGAAAUGCCCGGGCUUAACCCGGGAGCUGCCGUUGAAACUGUCGAGCUAGCGUGCACAAGAGGUAGGCGGAAUGCGUGGUGUAGCGGUGAAAUGCAUAGAUAUCACGCAGAACCCCGAUUGCGAAGGCAGCCUACUAGGGUGCAACGGACGCUGAAGCACGAAAGCGUGGGUAUCGAACAGGAUUAGAUACCCUGGUAGUCCACGCAGUAAACGAUGAAUACUAACUGUUUGCGAUAUAAUGUAAGUGGUACAGCGAAAGCGUUAAGUAUUCCACCUGGGGAGUACGCCGGCAACGGUGAAACUCAAAGGAAUUGACGGGGGCCCGCACAAGCGGAGGAACAUGUGGUUUAAUUCGAUGAUACGCGAGGAA